rnacentral:rRNA from 1 species
CGGUAAACAGAGGGAAGCGAGCCUGCGAGGGGGAGCGAAUCCCAAAAUAAACGUCCCAGUUCGGAUUGUAGUCUGCAACCCGACUACAUGAAGCUGGAAUCGCUAGUAAUCGCGGAUCAGAAUGCCGCGGUGAAUACGUUCCCGGGUCUUGUACACACCGCCCGUCACACCAUGGGAGUCGGAAAUGCCCGAAGUCUGUGACCCAACCUUAGGGAGGGAGCAGCCGAAGGCAGGUCGGAUGACUGGGGUGAAGUCGUAACAAGGUACC